GUGGGGGUUCAAGUCCCCCGGCGGAAUUGGUAGACGCGCUAGCUUCAGGUGUUAGUGUCCUUACGGACGUGGGGGUUCAAGUCCCCCCCCUCGCACCA
rnacentral:tRNA from 1 species